rnacentral:tRNA from 1 species
GUUUCUGUAGUUGAAUUACAACGGUGGUUUUUCGUAUCACAGGUCUUGGAUAGAUGUUGUCCAGGCAGAAACU